AAAUUCCACAGACAGAGGAGCCCGGCGGGCUACAGUCCAUGGGGUCUCAAAGAAUUGGACAUGACUGGAGAACUGAGCAUACCCUCCCUGAGGCAAGCAUCAUACAGAGUCUGUAUGCAUACUUAUUUAUUUCGUUUUCUCAACAGCCCUAUAAGAAAGAGUGAAAACAAGACUGUACUUUGUCCCAUUUUACAGAUGAGGAAACUGAGGUCCAGAGAGGUUAAGUUACUUGCCCAAAGUAACAAAGCCAAGGAAUUGGAGGAGCCUGAAUUUGAAGCCUCAGAGGAUGGCUCCAGAGCCCCAACAAUGAAUAGCAAUAGGAGUAUUAAAUGCUCACUGAAUACCUGAGGCUGCAUUUAACAUUUUACAUGUGCUGUGUCCUUUAUCCUCACAACAGUGAGGACAGAAUCCAGGGUUAUGCCCAUUAUAUGCAUUAAAGGAGAAUAGCCCAGGACUGCUGGGUGUGGCCAGAUGGUGACCUAACUCUGUUAGAAAGGCCCAGUAAUCCCUGAGCUGCACAUGAAAAGCUUGGCCUGGAGCAGGAGCUCAAUAAGUGUUGCUAUUUCAUUUCCCACUUCUUCUUUCUGGGCUUUCAUGAGCCCCAGCCAGGCUGGAGAAGACAGUGUGGGACUCUGUCCUCAUGACAGAGGGACCUGGCAAACCAGUCACUUUCAGUGUGGAGAGGAAAGUAUGAUGAUGCGAGUGAUGCAGGACCUCUGGGAGACAAGAGGAGGGACCCUGAAUCCAAGAAGACUUCCUGGAGGAGGUUGAAUCAACACCGUCUAGGAGAAUGACAGGUCGGUCCUCAUCUUCAGCUGCUCUUCCCUUCUGCAGAGUCAUUUUGAUUCUGCACCGACUCCCUCCCCAUGGGCUGUUCACACCUUCCACACCCAGCUAGAGGUGGAAGGAGGACACUCACCAUUCAGUCCUCACCCAGGCCAUCGACAGAAACGUCAGACAGCGCUUCCACGCCUGAUCACCUCUCUCGGCUGCCAGGGGCGCCAACACCGGCAGGCGCAUCGAUAAGCUCCCGGCCCACCAACUCUGGGCCUGCCUUGGACCAGUGCAGCUGAGUGGCGGCUUCUCUGGACUUUACUUGGAAGGCGUAGCCUGGACCUCGUCGGGAGUCAUGGGUGCAGAGCACGCACCUCUGGCCUCUAUCCUGAAACACUGGACUGUGGAUCUGAUGCUGGGAGUUCAGACUGGAAAAGGAGAAAAAUAGGAACCAGCAGGUGAUAUAAGGCCAGCAGGGAUGGUCUGGGAACAGUAACGGCUAAGUCCACAAAGGCCCACCAUCCUGGACUCCAAAUCCCUGGCUACAUAGGUU